rnacentral:misc_RNA from 1 species
AACCAUAGAAACCUGCGGAGUACCUGCGGAAGGAUCAUUACAGAGUUGCAAAACUCCCAAACCAUUGUGGACGAACUUGACAGUUGCUUCGGCAGGUCGGCCCAGCGCCGUGCGGUGGCUCCUCGCGAGCCCGCCUGCCGGAGUCGCCUAAACUCUUGAUUAUUAUUAGCAUCUCUGAGUAACUUAUUCAAUAAGUCAAAACUUUCAACAAUGGAUCUCAGAUCGGAAGAGCAAACGUCU